rnacentral:rRNA from 1 species
GACGAACGCUUUCUUCUUUCUUAACACAUGCAAGUCGUACGGUAAGGCCCUUUCGGGGGUCCACGAGUGGCGAACGGGUGAGUAACACGUGAGUAACCUGCCCACAACUUUGGGAUAACGCUAGGAAACUGGUGCUAAUACUGGAUAUGUGCUCCUGCUGCAUGGUGGGGGUUGGAAAGCUCCGGCGGUUGUGGAUGGACUCGCGGCCUAUCAGCUUGUUGGUGGGGUAGUGGCCUACCAAGGCGGCGACGGGUAGCCGGCCUGAGAGGGUGACCGGCCACAUUGGGACUGAGAUACGGCCCAGACGCCUACGGGAGGCAGCAGUGGGGAAUAUUGCACAAGGGGCGCAAGCCUGAUGCAGCAACGCCGCGUGCGGGAUGACGGCCUUCGGGUUGUAAACCGCUUUCAGCAGGGACGAAGCUUUUUGUGACGGUACCUGCAGAAGAAGCACCGGCUAACUACGUG